UCCAACUUGGGAAAUCCUGAGGUGGGUGCA
rnacentral:piRNA from 1 species